GAUGAACGCUGGCGGCGUGCCUAAUACAUGCAAGUCGAGCGAACAGACGAGGAGCUUGCUCCUCUGACGUUAGCGGCGGACGGGUGAGUAACACGUGGAUAACCUACCUAUAAGACUGGGAUAACUUCGGGAAACCGGAGCUAAUACCGGAUAAUAUAUUGAACCGCAUGGUUCAAUAGUGAAAGACGGUUUUGCUGUCACUUAUAGAUGGAUCCGCGCCGCAUUAGCUAGUUGGUGAGGUAACGGCUUACCAAGGCGACGAUGCGUAGCCGACCUGAGAGGGUGAUCGGCCACCCUGGAACUGAGACACGGUCCAGACUCCUACGGGAGGCAGCAGUAGGGAAUCUGCCGCAAUGGGUGAAAGCUUGACGGAGCAACGCCGCGUGAGUGAUGAAGGUCUUCGGAUCGUAAAACUCUGUUAUUAGGGAAGAACAAAUGUGUAAGUAACUAUGCACGUCUUGACGGUACCUAAUCAGAAAGCCACGGCUAACUACGUG
rnacentral:rRNA from 1 species